rnacentral:rRNA from 1 species
UACGGAGGGUGCGAGCGUUGUCCGGAAUCACUGGGCGUAAAGGCGCGUAGGCGGCCUGAUAAGUAGGGGGGUGAAAUCCUGCGGCUUAACCGCAGGGCUGCCUUCUAAACUGUCAGGCUCGAGCACAGUAGAGGCAGGUUGGAAUUCCCGGUGUAGCGGUGGAAUGCGUAGAGAUCGGGAAGAACAUCAGUGGCGAAGGCGGCCUGCUGGGCUGUUGCUGACGCUGAGGCUGCGA